rnacentral:rRNA from 1 species
UAAGUAAGUGGUGGAAAUUAAACCAAAUGGGAUAUCUUUAGUAAUUGCGAAUGAACAAGGAUAUGCUUAGCUUGACAAAUGGAGCUAUUGGCUUUGAAUUGUAUUGUGGAAAUGUAUUACCAACAGAGGUGCAGGUGCCAGCCUAUUGAAAUAAAGCGUCAAUGAGGGUGAGAAUCCUGUUUGUCAUGUGCAGCCCUUUGUGCACGGUGUAUAUUUGCUGAGUCACACUCCUUGGCAUUGGAAUGCAAAGUGGGUGGUAAGUUUCAUGUAAAGGUAAACAUGCAAUUGAGACUGAUAGCACACAAGUACCAUGAGGGAAAUAUGAAAAGGACUUUGAAAAGAGAAUUAAAUGAGUUUGUAUUUGCUGAACACAAAGUAAACAGACUUGAUUUGCUUGGUGGGAGUGUUGCACUUGCUUGACAAGAGCUUUGGGCUGUGGGUGUAAUGAUUCUUUCUUUGCAUGCCGGUUUCUAUUUGUACAUCUGAUUACCUUUGCACAUGAAUGAUAAGUCUCCUGUGGGGGGUGGAUUGCAUGUGCAUGUAAUGAUUUGUGUUUUGAUAAAUGUGUCUGGUGUAUGUGUGUGUUCCUGUGCUUGGGGAUGCUUCCUUCCUUGGACUUACAAGCCCUGACACACACAUGCUGGCAAAAUGCUUCUGCUUGACCCG